UACGUAGGUGGCAAGCGUUAUCCGGAUUUAUUGGGCGUAAAGGGAACGCAGGCGGUCUUUUAAGUCUGAUGUGAAAGCCUUCGGCUUAACCGGAGUAGUGCAUUGGAAACUGGGAGACUUGAGUGCAGAAGAGGAGAGUGGAACUCCAUGUGUAGCGGUGAAAUGCGUAGAUAUAUGGAAGAACACCAGUGGCGAAAGCGGCUCUCUGGUCUGUAACUGACGCUGAGGCUCGAAAGCGUGGGUAGCAAACAGG
rnacentral:rRNA from 1 species